AAGGGCCUUGGCGCGCUAGGCGCCACGUGCACAGGCCCCAAGCACGCAAGGCCUAUCUGCGCAGGAGGUGACGCACAGUUGACCCGACUACAUGUGACAAGACUCGCAUAGCGCCUAUCCCCGCAUCGUGCAUGCGAACGGGAUGUACGCGCUGUGCGCACGUCCUGUUUGUGCAUGUGUGUAGAUGGGAUGUACGCAUUGUGUACACGUUCCAUAGUUGUUUGCGCAUGCGCGCGCGCACAAUGCAUAACAUUCACGCAUGCAGCUUUGCUUCCC
rnacentral:lncRNA from 1 species